rnacentral:rRNA from 1 species
CAGCAGCCGCGGUAAUACAGAGGAUGCAAGCGUUAUUCGGAAUGAUUGGGCGUAAAGCGUCUGUAGGUGGCUUUUCAAGUCCACCGUCAAAUCCCCGGGCUCAACCCUGGACAAGCAGUGGAAACUACCAAGCUGGAGUACGGUAGGGGUAGAGGGAAUUUCCGGUGGAGCGGUGAAAUGCGUUGAGAUCGGAAAGAACACCAACGACGAAAGCACUCUGCUGGGCCGACACUGAUACUGAGAGACGAAAGCUAGGGGAGCAAAUGGGAUUAGAUACCCCCGUAGUCCCUGUCUCUUAUAC